rnacentral:rRNA from 1 species
UACGUAGGUGGCAAGCGUUGUCCGGAUUUACUGGGCGUAAAGAGCGCGCAGGCGGUCGUUCAAGUCGAGUGUGAAAGCCCCCGGCUCAACUGGGGAGGGUCACUCGAUACUGAUCGACUCGAAGGCAGAAGAGGGAAGCGGAAUUCCCGGUGUAGUGGUGAAAUGCGUAGAUAUCCGGAGGAACACCAGUGGCGAAGGCGACUUCCUGGCCUGUUCUUGACGCUGAGGCGCGAAAGCUGGGGGAGCAAACGGG